UACGAAGGGGGCUAGCGUUGCUCGGAAUUACUAGGCGUAAAGCGCACGUAGGCGGCUUGUUAAGUCAGGGGUGAAAUCCUGGAGCUCAACUCCAGAACUGCCUUUGAUACUGGCGAGCUUGAGUUCGGGAGAGGUGAGUGGAACUGCGAGUGUAGAGGUGAAAUUCGUAGAUAUUCGGAAGAACACCAGUGGCGAAGGCGGCUCACUGGCCCGUUACCGACGCUCAGGCGCGACAGCGUGGGGAGCAAACAGG
rnacentral:rRNA from 1 species